rnacentral:rRNA from 1 species
UACGUAGGGGGCAAGCGUUGUCCGGAAUCAUUGGGCGUAAAGAGCGUGUAGGCGGCCAGGUAGGUCUGCUGUGAAAACUCGAGGCUCAACCUCGAGACGUCGGCGGAAACCAUCUGGCUAGAGUCCGGAAGAGGAGAGUGGAAUUCCGGGUGUAGUGGUGAAAUGCGUAGAGAUCCGGAGGAACACCAGUGGCGAAGGCGACACGCUGGGCCGUACCUGACACUGAGGCGCGAUAGCAUGGGGAGCAAACAGG